AUGAUGUGGCUAAGCUACUAAGAGUGUAAGGUGAAUGCCUUGGCACUAGAAGCCGAUAAAGGACGUGGUAAGCUGCGAUAAGCCUCGGGGAGGAGCAAACAUCCCUUGAUCCGAGGAUUUCCGAAUCGGGAAACCGGUCCUUAUGCAAGUAAGGACAUCCUGUAAUAAAGAUCCUGGCCUUGUGCCGGGGGGAUAGUUACAGGAAGACAACCCGGGGAAGUGAAACAUCUCAGUACCCGGAGGAAAAGAAAUCAACGAGAUUCCCUGAGUAGUGGCGAGCGAAACGGGAAGAGCCCAAAUUCCCCCACCACCCAUCUGAUGAAUGUCAGAUGCGUGGUGGGGGGAGGUUGUGGGGCUCGGGUGUCCGCAAGGAGGAAAGUUACCAAUCCUUUCGUUAGUUGAACGGCCCUGGAACGGCCGGCCAAAGAAGGUGAUAGCCCUGUAGACAAAAGCGAAAAGGACUUUCUUACCCGAGUUCCCGAGUACCAUGGAACACGUGAAAUUCCAUGGGAAUCUGGGGUGACCAUUCUCCAAGGCUAAAUACUCUCUAGUGACCGAUAGUGAACAAGUACCGCGAGGGAAAGGCGAAAAGAACCCCGGAAGGGGAGUGAAAUAGAACCUGAAACCUUACACUUACAAGCAGUUCGAGGCCUAUGCCUUUUGCCGCAAGGCUUAAGGAAUGGCUGAGAGCGUGCCUGUUGAAGAAUGAUCCGGCGAGUUACUGGUGGUUGCAAGCUUAAGUCUCUCAGAGACGAAAGCGCAGCGAAAGCGAGUCUGAAUAGGGCGACAAGUAGCCAUUAGUAGACCCGAAGCCAGUCGAUCUAGUCCUGGGCAGGGUGAAGGCCACCGAAAGGUGGCUGGAGGCCCGAAGCGUUAUACGUUGAAAAGUAUCUGCAUGAACUGGGAUUAGGGGUGAAAGGCCAAUCGAGGCUGGUGAUAGCUGGUUCUCCCCGAAAUAGCUUUAGGGCUAGCCUUGAAACUUAACCGCAGGGGGUAGAGCACUGGAUAGUGUAGGGGGUGCAACCCACCUUCCGAAUCUAACCAAACUCCGAAUACCUGCGCGAAUGUUUCAGGAGUCAGUGCUUGGGGGCAAGCUUCAAGCGCAAAAGGGGAACAGCCCAGACCACCGUUUAAGGUCCCUAAGUGUAUGCUAAGUGGCAAAGGAUGUGAAUUCGCUGAGACAGCCAGGAGGUUGGCUUAGAAGCAGCCAUCCUUUAAAGAGUGCGUAACAGCUCACUGGUCAAGCGAGUUUGCGCCGAAAAUGACUCGGGGCUAAGCAUACCACCGAAUACGUGGCUGUACCGGUGCUUCGGCAUCGGUACGGGGUAGGGGAGCGUUCCGUAUGCAUCGAAGGCAUACCGAAAGGAGUGCUGGAGCGUACGGAAGUGAGGAUGUCGGAAUAAGUAGCGAUAACUUAAGUGAGAAUCUUAAGCGCCGAAAGCCUAAGGUUUCCUUGAGCAACGUUCGUCGACUCAGGGUUAGUCGGUCCUAAGCUGAGGCCGAAAGGCGUAGGUAAGGGGCAUCCGGUUAAUAUUCCGGAACCAUGGCUAUGACGUUAUCAACCAAGGGGGGACGCAGAAAGGUAAGCCAGCCGGGAGCAGGAGUCCCGGUUUAAGGUCGUAGGUAGGUCCCGUAGGUAAAUCCGCGGGGCCGUUUGACCCGAAAGCCGAAUACGACUCCGCCGUGAGGCGGGGGAAGUGGUCCAACUCCGCUGCCAAGAAAAUCCUCGUGGUGAGUCAUAGUUGUGUCCGUACCGCAAACCGACACAGGUAGGCUAGUAGAAGAUACUAAGGCGCGCGAGCGAACCUCCGUUAAGGAACUAGGCAAAAUAGCCCCGUAACUUCGGAAGAAGGGGUGCCCCGGUAAAGGCGCCGCAAGGCGUUUUGAAAGGGCCACAGUGAAAGGGGUUCCGCGACUGUUUAACAGAAACACAGGGCUCUGCUGAAAUCUCAAGAUGAUGUAUAGGGCCUGACGCUUGCCCGGUACUGGAAGGUCACGGGGAGGGGUUAGCCGCAAGGCGAGGCUCCGAACUUAAGCCCCAGUAAACGGCGGCCGUAACUAUAACGGUCCUAAGGUAGCGAAAUUCCUUGUCGGGUAAGUUCCGACCUGCAUGAAUAGCGUAACGAAGGAACCGCUGUCUCGACGGAGGGCUCGGCGAAAUUGAGUUGCCAGUGAAGACGCUGGCUUCCCGCUGCAAGACGGAAAGACCCCGUGCAGCUUUACUGUAUCCUGAUAUUGAAUUACGGUUUUGGAUGCGUAGGAUAGGUGGGACCCGAUGAAGGGCUUCUUUUGGGGAGCCCAGAGGGGACGGUGAAAUACCACCCUUCCUGGAGUGUGAUUCUAACUUGGGCCCGUGAAUCCGGGACGAGGACAGUGUCAGGUGGGCAGUUUGACUGGGGCGGUCGCCUCCUAAAGAGUAACGGAGGCGCCCAAAGGUUCCCUCAACGCGAAUAGAAAUCGCGUGUCGAGUGCAAGGGCAUAAGGGAGCUUGACAGGGAGCGCGACGGCGCAACCUGGUGCGAAAGCAUGGCCUAGUGAUCCGGUGGUUCCGAAUGGAAGGGCCAUCGCGCAACGGAUAAAAGCUACGCCGGGGAUAACAGGCUGAUCGGGCCAGAGAGUUCACAUCGACGGCCCGGUUUGGCACCUCGAUGUCGGCUCAUCGCAUCCUGGGGCUGGAGAAGGUCCCAAGGGUCCGGCUGUUCGCCGGUUAAA
rnacentral:rRNA from 1 species